rnacentral:misc_RNA from 1 species
AGAUUGGGGCACUGGAGUAGCAAUCUUCCUGGAUUCAAAUUCAUACAAGAGUUCAGGUUCAAAUCAUUAAGCUCCGGACAAUUGAGAUAUAAUGCAUCUAAGCCAGAGCAACCCCAUAAGCUGAGUUUCUUCAAGUGGCUGUGCUUAAUAAUCAGUUUCUGAUAAAUAAGGUGUAAUUUACUACUUGGUGUUCUUUGUAUAUCAACAUUAUCAUUUUCCUGUGCUGCUGGACUGUCUAGAUCUGGAUCGCAUAUGCUCAUUCCACAAUCCAUUAGCUCUAGGUUAGGCAACUGAGCUGCAGCAAAUUGUAUGCCACUUGACGUAAUGUUUGGACAGAGAGCAAGGAGUAGUUUCAACAAUGUCUC